GGAUUAGAUACCCUGGUAGUCCACGCUGUAAACGAUGUCGACUAGCCGUUGGGCUCAUUGAAGGGUUUAGUGGCGCAGCUAACGCGAUAAGUCGACCGCCUGGGGAGUACGGCCGCAAGGUUAAAACUCAAAGGAAUUGACGGGGGCCCGCACAAGCGGUGGAGCAUGUGGUUUAAUUCGAUGCAACGCGAAGAACCUUACCAGCCCUUGACAUUGAGAGAAUCCUGCAGAGAUGUGGGAGUGCCUUCGGGCCUUGAAAACAGGUGCUGCAUGGCUGUCGUCAGCUCGUGCCG
rnacentral:rRNA from 1 species